GACGAACCGUGCGAACGUUAUUCGGAAUCACUGGGCUUAAAGCGCGUGUAGGCGGGACGGCACGUCGGUCGCUGAAAGCCCCCGGCCCAACCGGGGAACGGGCGCCGAUACGACCGGCCUGGAGGGACGUAGGGGGACCUGGAACUUCCGGUGGAGCGGUGAAAUGCGUUGAGAUCGGAAGGAACGCCCGUGGCGAAAGCGAGGUCCUGGACGUUUUCUGACGCUGAGACGCGAAAGCCAGGGGAGCGAACGGG
rnacentral:rRNA from 1 species